UACGGAGGGUGCAAGCGUUAUCCGGAAUCACUGGGCGUAAAGGGCGCGUAGGCGGCCUGUUAAGUCCGAUGUUAAAGACUGGGGCUCAACCCCAGCAUUGCGUUGGAUACUGGCAGGCUUGACGGUUGGAGAGGCGAGUGGAAUUACCAGUGUAGCGGUGAAAUGCGUAGAUACUGGUAGGAACACCCAUUGCGAAGGCAGCUCGCUGGACAACACGUGACGCUGAGGCGCGAAAGUGUGGGGAGCAAACCGGAUUAGAUACCCGCGUA
rnacentral:rRNA from 1 species